rnacentral:rRNA from 1 species
UACGGGGGGGGCAAGCGUUGUUCGGAAUUACUGGGCGUAAAGGGCCAGUAGGCGGCCAACUAAGUCGGAUGUGAAAUCCCCAGGCUUAACCUGGGAACUGCAUCCGAUACUGGAUGGCUUGAAUUCGGGAGAGGGAUGCAGAAUUCCAGGUGUAGCGGUGAAAUGCGUAGAUAUCGUCAAGAACACCGAUAGCGAAGGCAGCUUACUGGGCUGUAACUGACGCUGAGGCACGAAAGCCAGGGGAGCAAACGGG